GAAAGCCUUCUUACGUUACAGCAGAGGACAGCCAGGUCCAGGAAGUCUGUGGGACAGUCUCCCACCAUCUGGGUGAAGGUGACCACGUCCAGACCAAAGUCCUGCACACACAAACAGCAAAGGAGAUAACACUGAAGAUGGGGCACUCUUGAGCAAUGAGGUGGUGUGAUGGCUGGGAGGCCUUUCAUGGCCAAUCUAAACUAAUGGGCCAGCCAGGCUGGGAGACGGGUCCCGGGGGGUGCUGGAGCCUAUCUGAGCUGCAUUUGGGCAGAUGGAGUUGUACACCCUGGACAAAUCGCCACCUCAUCACAGGGCCAACACAGAUAGACAACAUUAAACACUCACAUUCACACAUUGGGGCCAAUUUAGUGUUGCCAAUCAACCUAUCCCCAGGUGCAUGUCUUUGGAAGUGGGAGAAAGACGGAGUACCCGGAGGGAACCCACGCAGUCACAGGGAGAACAUGCAAACUCCACACAGAAAUAUCCCGAGCCCGGGAUUGAAUCCAGGACUACUCAGGACCUUCGUAUUGUGAAGCACACGCACUAACCCCUCUUCCACCAUGCUACCCCAAAUUUGAGAUUGUACCUUUUAAAAAAUUUGGCUACAUAUACCACAUUUCAUAACCAGUAUAUGUCAAACCCAAUUUCAAAUAUUUUAUAAAACCUGAAAAUUUUGGAUAAACUGCAGAAUUAUUAAACUGGUUGGUCACAGAGAGGUGUCUAUUCUAGGAGGAAAAGUUCUUAGCAAAAUGGAAAGUACUUAUUCUAUGUUAGCUACAUCUCUUUGUUUAUAAUGUAUAUUUUCUGCUGGAUCUACUCUCUAUUUUAUGCUGCCUUCUUCUUUAUUGCUGCACCUUUUACAUAUACCGUAAAAUUGUACAUGGUUAUUGAGAUGUGUUAUGUAUUGUAUGUAAACUCUAAACAAAAAGAUCCAAAAAGAUUUGUAUUGUGAGGCACACGCACUAACCAUUGUUCCACCGUGCUGCCUUUCUUAUGAAGUUAGUCUUUUUAAAAUGCACUUUGUUCAUCUGAAGAGCUGCAAUCAAGCAACUACUCGUUUUUUUUUGUGUUUGUUGUUUAAGAAGUUUCCCCUCUCAUCAAGGUCCAAGUUAUCAGAUAAACAAGCAUUAAAGACACUUUCUUCAAAUAUUUUUUAACUUAAUGUUCAUUACACUACCUUAAAAUCUGCACAGUUGUGUCUUGUCAUUAAAUAAUAAAAAUGGAUUUUAUUUGUAUUGCACUUAACAUUUGAAUACAAAUAUAAAAUAUAAAAAAGGUAUUUCGUUCUAUUCGCCACAUACCAAUAAGUGGUGAUGCCACAGUUAAUCUAGUUGGGAAGCAUUACAGUGCUCUGCUGUUUUUAGGCACCUACUUCAAAAAUGUUGAUGUCAUUCAAAGCCACAACACAAAGGCUGAAAGUAAAUGACGCUAUGAUAUUAAGCAUUAAACAUAAUUAGGGUACCUCAGUGCGUGGCAGGACGUCAGGGUCAGCCUGUAUCCUUGCGAUUAUUUCACACAGGAUGAUGCCGUAUGCGAACACAUCCACCUGCACACAGUAAGAAAGACAUGAUAGAAAACUCCAGAAUGGCUUACAAAAAAAGUAAACAGCUAUGUUCACACUGCAGGUCAAUUCAGAUUUAUUUUGCCCUUAUGUGACCUGUAUUACAUUUUUUAUUGUUAUAUAUAUAUUUUAAAUCAAACAUAAGCCUCUGAGUUCUUAUGUGGCUAUAAGUCAGAUAUGUAUCAUACCCACGGGACUGCAAUGUGAACGAUUGAUCACCCAACCUAUUAAGUCCUCCAAAGGUAACAAUCUCCCAAAUUAUUUGCCAGAACAGACAAAUUGAAAAUAAAUGGUGGACUAAGGAGCAGGAAAGUGUCAGUGGCGAAACGAUGAGUUCUUAGACGUGAUAAAGAACAUAGGAGUUACAUCAAGGUGCCAUCGCUCUGUCUUUCUGUGCAGAAGCUCCCCGCAUAUUCUCGCCUCUUGAGAAUUGGUGAAAAAACAAAUAUUAACUGCAGUUGCACAAACUCCUGGAAAAUGCCAUAAAUAGAAUAUACAUAUUUAUUCCAG